rnacentral:tRNA from 3 species
GCGAAUAUGGUGUAGCGGUAGCAUGAGAGCCUUCCAAGCUCUGGGGACGAGUUCAAAUCUCGUUAUUCGCU